AAGGAAGCAACGCUGAUUCCCAAUUGACAGAAGAAGGCCCAGAGAAGAGGAGGCAGGCACUGAGGAAGCCAGGCCGUGCUUGGCCUUUCCCCUGCCUGGCCUGGCCCUGACCCGAGGCUCACCCACUGCCUGUCUCCCUGCACCUGGCCCAUGGAGCAGCUGGAGCUGCACCUGCCGUUAUCAGCCAUGCUCUGGGACACCUUUGGCCUCAGGUAUGCCAGGAACUGGGCCAGGGCGUUAAAGAGACUACAAGCUGUUCCUGCUCACUCAAGAAGGUCCUGGAGCCUCACAGCACCUGGAGUAAGCAGGCAUGCCCUAGCCAGAGAGGGAAACUGAGGCCCUCUGACUUUAACCUGGAAGGGGAAUCAGAGACCUCCUUGAUUCCCCUAAGUGGGAACCAGGAAAGCAAAAAUGGUGCGGAUGGGAAGAUGGGUAGGUGAAAAAUGAAAUCAAAGCCAACAAUGGACCAGCUAUUUCACUUCUAGGUAUAUACUGAAAAGAAAUGCCUAGACAUGUUCACCAGAACAAUGUGUACUAGAAUGUUCAUAGCAGCAUGAUUUAUGGUAGCCCAAAUGGAAAUGACUCAAAAGCCCAGCAAUAGUAGAAUGACUACAUAAAUUAAACUACAACUGCAGAAAG
rnacentral:lncRNA from 1 species